rnacentral:rRNA from 1 species
GUAGGGAAUAUUGCUUAAUGGGCGCAAGCCUGAAGCAGCAACGCCGCGUGUGCGAUGACGGCCUUCGGGUUGUAAAGCACUUUUCACCGGGAAGAGGAAGGACGGUACCGGUGGAAUAAGCCUCGGCUAACUACGUGCCAGCAGCCGCGGUAAAACGUAGGAGGCGAGCGUUAUCCGGAUUUACUGGGCGUAAAGCGCGUGUAGGCGGUCGUGCAAGUCGGGUGUGAAAGCCCAGGGCUCAACCCUGGAAGUGCAUUCGAUACUGCAUGGCUAGAGUCCCGGAGAGGAUGGUGGAACUCUCGGUGUAGAGGUGAAAUUCGUAGAUAUCGAGAAGAACACCGGUGGCGAAGGCGGCCAUCUGGACGGUGACUGACGCUGAGACGCGAAAGCGUGGGGAGCAAACA